GGUCAAACCCGUGUCUCCCGCAUUUUGGGGAGAUUCCCCAUCUGAGCCACCAGGGAAGGCCUACUAGAUUCCACAUUAGAUGCUCAUUAAAUCUUUUCAAUGGAGUUCUCCAUUUCAGCAGGAAUAGAUCAAGCAAUCCUUCCAUAUCCUUAAGCUCUUCUGGUGACUGUGAUGGAAUAAUUACAAGUUUCUUAACCAACUCCAAAAGAAUAUGGGAAGCCAUCCAACUGCCGUUUCUUCCCAUGCUUGUUGAAUUUCCUGUAAUGUGUCCAAUUAAGUCAUCAGAAGAAGUAAUGGGAAAGGUAGAUGUGAACUCUACUUCACAUGACAACUUUGAAGAGCACCUUUAUUCUAUAAAAUGUCUCAGCAGAUGCCAGCUGAGCCAUGGGAGACAAAGUUUGGAGUUUCUGAAACAAACUGGAAAGGAGCAGGUGAGGAGAAGAGAGUACUGGUAAGAGAGGAAAGAAAGAGAAAUCUAACAAGAGUCAUGGUAGAAACCUACGUGCCUGUGUCACUAAUUUCUCCCCAUUUCCUGCCAA
rnacentral:lncRNA from 1 species